CUGCCCUGAGCCUGCCUUCUGUGCUUUGGGGGGCUUAUGGCUCUACAACAGCGAGGUAACCCUGCCCUGAGCUGCCUUCUGUGCUCUGGGGGGGCUUAUGGCUCUACAACAGCGAGGUAACCCUGAUCUGAGCUGCCUUCUGUGCUCUGGGGGGGCUUAUGGCUCUACAACAGCGAGGUAACCCUGCCCUGAGCCUGCCUUCUGUGCUUUGGGGGGCUUAUGGCUCUACAACAGCGAG